UAGGGAAUAUUGGGCAAUGGGGCGCAAGCCUGACCCAGCAACGCCGCGUGAGGGAAGAAGGUUUUCGGAUUGUAAACCUCUGUCCUAUGUGACGAAGGAAGUGACGGUAGCAUAGGAGGAAGCCCCGGCUAACUACGUGCCAGCAGCCGCGGUAAUACGUAGGGGGCGAGCGUUGUCCGGAAUUACUGGGCGUAAAGGGUGCGUAGGCGGUUUGGUAAGUUGGAUGUGAAAUACCCGGGCUUAACUUGGGGGCUGCAUCCAAUACUGCUGAACUUGAGUGCAGGAGAGGAAAGCGGAAUUCCUAGUGUAGCGGUGAAAUGCGUAGAUAUUAGGAAGAAUACCAAUGGCGAAGGCAGGUUUCAGGCAGAUAACUGACGCUGAGUGCGAAGGUGCG
rnacentral:rRNA from 1 species